UACGUAGGGGGCUAGCGUUGUCCGGAAUCAUUGGGCGUAAAGAGCGUGUAGGCGGUCCGGUAAGUCCGCUGUGAAAGUCAAGGGCUCAACCCUUGAAUGCCGGUUGAUACUGUCGGGCUAGAGUCCGGAAGAGGCGAGUGGAAUUCCCGGUGUAGCGGUGAAAUGCGCAGAUAUCGGGAGGAACACCAAUGGCGAAGGCAGCUCGCUGGGACGGUACUGACGCUGAGACGCGAAAGCGUGGGGAGCAAACAGG
rnacentral:rRNA from 1 species